GGGGCGUUAGCUCAGCUGGUUAGAGCAGGGGACUCAUAAUCCCUUGGUCGCAGGUUCAAGUCCUGCACGCCCUACCA
rnacentral:tRNA from 1 species